UACGGGGGGGCAAGCGUUGUUGCGGAAUUACUGGGCGUAAAGGGCUCGUAGGCGGCCAACUAAGUCAGACGUGAAAUCCCUCGGCUUAACCGGGGAACUGCGUCUGAUACUGGAUGGCUUGAGGUUGGGAGAGGGAUGCGGAAUCCAGGUGUAGCGGUGAAAUGCGUAGAUAUCUGGAGGAACAGCCGGUGGCGAAGGCGGACCG
rnacentral:rRNA from 1 species